CCUACGGGGUGCAGCAGUGAGGAAUAUUGGUCAAUGGACGCAAGUCUGAACCAGCCAUGCCGCGUGCAGGAAGACGGCUCUAUGAGUUGUAAACUGCUUUUGUACGAGGGUAAACGCAGAUACGCGUAUCUGUCUGAAAGUAUCGUACGAAUAAGGAUCGGCUAACUCCGUGCCAGCAGCCGCGGUAAUACGGAGGAUUCAAGCGUUAUCCGGAUUUAUUGGGUUUAAGGGGUGCGUAGGCGGUCGGAUAAGUUAGAGGUGAAAUCCCGAGGCUCAACUUGGGAAUUGCAUCUGAUACUGUUCGGCUUGAGAGUAGUUGAGGUAGGCGGAAUGUAUGGUGUAGCGGUGAAAUGCUUAGAGAUCAUACAGAACACCGAUUGCGAAGGCAGCUUACCAAGCUACUUCUGACGUUGAGGUACGAAAGCGUGGGGAGCAAACAGGAUUAGAUACCCGAGUAGUC
rnacentral:rRNA from 1 species